rnacentral:lncRNA from 1 species
GUGCAAACUAGUGUGUUACAGCUGCUAUUGCUUUCAAUGUUGCUGUUAGCAUUCUUCAUAAGAUUCACCCAGAGUGUAUGUCAGUCUGUUGGGCUGUUUAUCAGUAUGUAAACUUCUACACGCCAACUUGGUGCACUGGGUAGUCCAUGGUUUUAAUGGGUAGCGCAUCAGGCUGCUGUGCUGAGUGAACAGGGUUCGAAACCAACCUUCGGACCAGUUUGGUUCACUGGGUAUGUUAUGGUAUGUGCCACUCAUCAAUGAACGUCUUUCGCACCAACUUGGGUCUCUCGGUUUAUGCCAAUAUGUACGGCCCUUCAGUGAAUAUUCUUGACACCAACUUGGGUCACUGUGUAUGUGUCAUUUCGUAUGCACCACGUUUCAAUGAAUCUAUUUCACGCCUGCUUGCGUGAUUGGGCCAUUCUAGCAGCCUGAUGUCUGGUGGCCUGCCCGGCGGAUCUGGUGGUCCAGCUGUUCUAGUGACCUGGUAUCAUGCUGCCAGUGCUGCGCACCUGGCGGCAAGAUCUAGCAGCCUGGUGCUUUGCUGCCCGACUGUCGGAUCUGCCUACCCUACGGAGCAGGUGGUCAGCUAUUCCAGUGGCCUGGUAUCUUGAUGCCCACCCUACGGACCUAGUGGACACGUGUUCUUGGGACCUGGUGUGUUGAGGCCGCACUAAAGACCUGGUAACCUGAUAUUCGAGUGGCCUGGUGUCUUGCUGUUUGACCUGGGGACCUCGUGGUCAACUGUUCUAGCGACCUGGUAUGUUUCUGCCCACCAUACGAACCUGACCAAGUCGUCUUCCGCAGCCAUCUUCUCGCACUCCCAAAUUUGCGCUGACGGAGGAGAGCAACCACGUGAUGAAACCCGUCACGAAGCCGUCUGGGGCCUCGUCCAGCCCCAGGUCGAAAAACGACGAAGGCAACGACGUCAUGCUGGACGACAUGUCGGGAAUGCCGGUGCUUCAGGAGAAGCCCACUUACCGGGUCAGCCUGGAACGUCCCGGCCCUUCUCAUCGCCACUGGCGUCUUAGUCACUGUCUUGUUAGUAGCCACGUCACUGUACCGAUGCCCGUCGACGAUGCAGGGAAAGCGCGGAUGAUUCUGAAAUGAAGCCCCUGUCCAAGUACGCGGAUGUAGAUGCUGGCGAAACUUCCUCUUGAGCACGCCUGCUCUGUUCACGUGUGAGCUUUAGCCUGAAGUAGUAUCGGCCGUACGUGGCGUUUUGUCAAAACCUGAGCGACCGUCUCUUAGUGGACGAUUGAAAUUCAAAGCACACUGCGCGGUAGGUCGCGCACCGCGAUGUUUGCAAUUUUUGUCCGCUAUUGAGACUGAUUUGAACUUUCUCGGGUGCAACUGAGCGUCGCGACAUCCUCCGACAGAAUGUCGUACCUCCCAAGCUCUUUGAACCGCUGCAUAAAGAUGUGAAUUAUUUAAAUUGAAAAUCAGACUGCCCCAUAUAGUGAGCGCUCUUAAGCUCGCCGCAGUACCGGGCCCUUCGAGUCAGAAAGAGUUUCGGUGAUUCAGGCGAACGAAAUGAAUGGCUUGUUGGGCAAUCUGCCGCCAGGUAGAUAUUGCGUGCAAGUACGUUCUUCCUGUGGCAAGUAGGAGCAAGAGGAAACGUAAAGCUUUCCGACUUGGCCCAUGAUGUCUCUGCGAUCAACAAUUCCGUGCAGCGCAGCCUUAGUGCUAAACAACCAACACUGACUGCUCGGUAUAUCUCUGUUCUUCCUUCUGAAUCAUGACUUUGAUCCACUUCCGCGCUAUGACAAGUCGUGUUGUCACUUGGACGCUAUAUAGCGUGCUGCGUGAAUCUCGGUGCUCACAAGUUUGCUUCAAGGUCCCGAAUCCAUGGUGGAAUGAAAGCAAUCUGCCUCCUGCUUCGCGACUUCACUUACGCUCGUUGGGGUGGUCGUCGCCAAAUAUGGAGACAUAAGACAUGAGUCUUCGAGACGCGUUCAGGGGCAUGUUCAGUCUUCGCAAUAAAGGUACCAACGUUGUUAAAUAAUUGUC